rnacentral:rRNA from 1 species
UACAGAGGUCUCAAGCGUUGUUCGGAUUCAUUGGGCGUAAAGGGUGUGUAGGUGGCGCGCUAAGUCGGGUGUGAAAUUUCGGAGCUUAACUCCGAAACUGCAUUCGAUACUGGCGUGCUUGAGGACUGGAGAGGAGACUGGAAUUCGUGGUGUAGCAGUGAAAUGCGUAGAGAUCAUGAGGAAGACCAGUGGCGAAGGCGGGUCUCUGGACAGUUCCUGACACUGAGACACGAAGGCCAGGGGAGCAAACGGG